GCAGACUCGCUACGUGCCUGGCUGCAGCCCCCGGGGGGGUGCUUGUUCCCUCUGCCAGAGAAACAAACAUUCCUUAUAGGUCAGUGCUGUGGGCCCCUGACCUAUAAGGGUAUGCAGCUGCCUGGAGAUACAGAG